AGAGCGAACGCUGGCGGCAGGCUUAACACAUGCAAGUCGAGCGGGCGUAGCAAUACGUCAGCGGCAGACGGGUGAGUAACGCGUGGGAACGUACCUUUUGGCUCGGAACAACACAGGGAAACUUGUGCUAAUACCGGAUAAGCCCUUACGGGGAAAGAUUUAUCGCCAAAAGAUCGGCCCGCGUCUGAUUAGCUAGUUGGUGAGGUAACGGCUCACCAAGGCGACGAUCAGUAGCUGGUCUGAGAGGAUGAUCAGCCACAUUGGGACUGAGACACGGCCCAAACUCCUACGGGAGGCAGCAGUGGGAAUAUUGGACAAUGGGCGCAAGCCUGAUCCAGCCAUGCCGCGUGAGUGAUGAAGGCCCUAGGGUUGUAAAGCUCUUUUGUGCGGGAAGAUAAAUGACGGUACCGCAAGAAUAAGCCCCGGCUAACUUCGCGCCAGCAGCCGC
rnacentral:rRNA from 1 species